rnacentral:lncRNA from 1 species
CUAAUGAACAACUAGUAGAAUCUGAUUCUGUCAUUGUUGUUAAGCUUCUCUUGCAUUUUUCAUUCAGUAAUCGGCUCUUUUUCAUUGUUGAUCAUGUCUGUUCUUUGCCGAUCAUAGGUCUAGGAGAGCAGCUCAACACGCUCAGCCUUGCCAUCGACGCGGUCACCAGCAUGGUUAACACAUGUGGGGAGACCUAGGUGGAGCAUUUCCAAGACGUCCCUCACUGCAUCCAGGAAGUGGCCCUCUAUGGCGUCUGCUUUGGGGUAGCGAACACGUUGGAAGUGGCCCAACUCCACCAUGGGGUCUUGCUCUCGGAGUCCCUCACUCCGAGCUUCGUCGAGGAGCACAACAACAAAGAUGUCGAGGAGCUGGUGGAGGACUUCACCCCCUGCACGGACGCCAUCGCCCAAGUUACCUUGGCCGAAAGACAUAGUUGCUCGUGUCUUCGGCGAUGAAAAUUAGAUUGUGUUUUUUAUUUUUGUUUUGUUGAUGUAAUGACUCUGAACAGAUGCCACUGCCCAUUGAGGUAGCUUAUCUUAAUUUUGUUGAUCCAAUUGCUCCAUCAUCUGUGACAUAUUGUCCAUCGAGACAAUCUGUGUGUUUCCUACAUCGACAUGAACUUUUCUUUUUUGUUUGUUUUUUGCUCUAAAGGUGAUACAUAUCGUAUUGGCUAUUUUCAUUCAUCAACAAGACAUUCUUUUUUUGCACUGAAGACGACACCUUCCUGUAUCGGCUAUCACAAUCUAUCUUCAACACUCUGAUCAACUAAAGCAAUUCAACCCACACGCUAGGAUAUUAUUUCUUAAAAUAUUUUCCAUUGAUAACUUUGGAAUACUCCUCUACUUCCAAUAUCUCAUAAAAAUAAGCAUUCCCAGGAGCAACCCUAGUAAUCCAAUAUGGUCCUUCCAAAUUAGUAGGUGACCAUUUGCCAAAUCUAUUAUCUUUAGAUCCAAUCAGCAAA